UCAGUGGGAAAGGGAAUGGAGGUCCAUGACCUCAGAUGAACAUCCUGAUAAUGUCCACCGUCCUGUCUGAAGUAACAGCUUUCUUGUGAAAAAAUGCAAAUGGCAUGCACAUGAACUGAUGUUUUCCAGAAGGCUAGGUGCAUGGCAUGGCUUGUAUCAUGCAUGUACACUCUGUAUGCAGGAUAUUGCAGAUUAACAGAGGGGUAGCUAGCUCAUGUCCUGCCAGACCUCCGUUUUUGCAUUGACUGUAUAGAAAGAUCUGUGGAACAAAUUCAUGAAAGAUGAUGUUUGCGAGACUUUUAGAAGUAAAAGUCUAAGGAAUGUAGCCAUGCACAUGCCAAUGAAGUUGUGGACACUUCUAGGAUUAGCUGAAAGCAUUAGCUGAUAUCAGCAGUAGGCAGCCCUGCAGAGUUGGCCCUGUAUCCAAAGCAGUUCUAGUCUGGGCAUGAGAUACCUCUUCUUUGACAAGAGCAAAUAUCUACUUCCUGUGCCAUACUACAGAUAUAUUAAAUAUCUAACAAUGCAGUAGCCCUUUGUUCCUGUUCUACAGAAAUGGAUGCUUAUUUUGGUCUCUGUACUAACUUAUUGGAUGAGCAUACAUAAACAAUGAGCAAAUCAAUGACAACAGGAGCAGUAAUUCAAGGCAACGCAAAGGAAUUAAAGGUAAUGCAAUUCUAAGGUAUAUGCAUGGCAAAUAAACCAGUCUCUGAGAUUUGUGGACCAAAUAGGGUGCCUGUGCUGCACAGACUCCUGCUUCACCCACUAGCACAACUUGGGACGUGUGGAAUUUGGUCCAGUAUAAGCCGGCACUAAUGAAAUCCCCUGCUGUACCACAUAAUAAACAAGAGAGGUGUUGACUG